AAAGUCUGACCUGCCCACUGAAAUUAUUUAAAUGGCCGCAGUAUUCUAACUGUGCAAAGGUAGCAUAAUCAUUAGUCUUUUAAUUGAAGGCUGGUAUGAACGGUUGGACGAGGUAUAAGCUGUUUCAUAUAAAUUUAUAAUAGAAUUUUAUAUUUUAGUCAAAAAGCUAAAAUUUAAUUAAAAGACGAGAAGACCCUAUAAAUCUUUAUAUUUUAAGUUGUUUAAAUUUUUUAGAUUAAUUUUAUUUUUAUAAUUUAGAGUAUUUUGUUGGGGUGAUAUUAAAAUUUGAUGAACUUUUAGUUGUUAAAAAUCAUUAAUUUAUGAGUUAUUGAUCCAUUAAUAGUGAUUAUAAGAUUAAGUUACUUUAGGGAUAACAGCGUAAUUUUUUUGGAGAGUUCAUAUCGAUAAAAAAGUUUGCGACCUCGAUGUUGGAUUAAGAUAUAUUUUUAGGUGUAGCCGCUUAAAU
rnacentral:rRNA from 1 species